rfam:Clostridiales bacterium 52_15 Ley3_66761_scaffold_63510, whole genome shotgun sequence.
ACUAAGAGCCGAUGAAAGACGUGAUAAGCUGCGAAAAGCUUCGGGGAGGAGCAAAUAUCCAUUGAUCCGGAGAUAUCUGAAUGGGGAAACCCGGCUGAGCAAACCUCAGUCAUCCAUACGCCAAUCCAUAACGUAUGGAAGGGAACCCGGUGAACUGAAACAUCUAAGUAGCCGGAGGAAAAGAAAGAAAACUCGAUUUCCAGAGUAGCGGCGAGCGAAAUGGAAAGAGCCUAAACCAGCGUGCGUGCAUGCUGGGGUUACGGACUGCACAAGCUAUUGUGGAAGGUUAAGGGAACGGUUUUGGGAAAGCCGGCCAGAGAGGGUGAAAGCCCCGUACCUGAAAACCAGACACAGGCGGCAGGAUCCAGAGUACCACGAGACACGAGAAACCUUGUGGGAAGUCGGGGGGACCACCCCCCAAGGCUAAAUACUACUUAGUGACCGAUAGCGCAUAGUACUGUGAAGGGGAAAGGUGAAAAGGACCCCGGGAGGGGAGUGAAAGAGAACCUGAAACCCUGUGUUUACAAGCUGUGGAACAUCUAUAUACGAUGGACCGCGUACUUUUUGUAGAACGGUCCGGCGAGUUACGCUGGCUGGCAAGGUUAAGGACCUAAGGUCCGGAGCCGGAGGGAAACCAAGUCUUAAUAGGGCGAAAUAGUCAGCCAGAGUAGACCCGAAACCGGGUGAUCUACCCAUGUCCAGGCUGAAGUUGCCGUAAAAGGCAAUGGAGGGCCGAACGCACAUCCGUUGAAAAGGGUGGCGAUGANNNNNNNNNNNNNNNNCGUUGAAAAGGGUGGCGAUGAGGUGUGGGUAGGGGAGAAAUUCCAAUCGAACCCGGAGAUAGCUGGUUCUCCUCGAAAUAGCUUUAGGGCUAGCCUCGACAGAGUCUGAUGGAGGUAGAGCACUGAAUUUCCUAGGGGGCGUCAAAGUCUACCGAAGAAUAUCAAACUCCGAAUGCCAUCAAGAUGCUUGUCGGGAGUCAGACUGCACGAGAUAAGUUGGGUAGUCAAAAGGGAAAGAGCCCAGACCUCCAGCUAAGGUCCCAAAGUGCGUGUUAAGUGGAAAAGGAUGUGGGAUUUCAAAGACAACCAGGAUGUUGGCUCAGAAGCAGCCAUACAUUCAAAGAGUGCGUAANNNNNNNNNNNNNNNNNAAGCAGCCAUACAUUCAAAGAGUGCGUAAUAGCUCACUGGUCGAGAGGUCCUGCGCCGAAAAUGUCCGGGGCUGAAACACGACACCGAAGCUGAGGAAUUUAACGUCUGUUGAAUUGGUAGAGGAGCAUUGCAUACGCGAGGAAGCAGUACCGUAAGGAGCUGUGGAGUGUAUGGAAGAGAGAAUGCCGGAAUGAGUAGCGAGAUGGAGGUGGGAAUCCUCCAGGCCGAAUAUCCAAGGUUUCCAGAGUAAAGCUGAUCUGCUCUGGGUAAGUUGAUCUGCUCUGGGUAAGUCGGGACCUAAGGCGAGGCCGAGAGGCGUAGCCGAUGGACAACAGGUUGAGAUUCCUGUACUGCUGUAUAUCAGAACUGUGGGGACACAGAGGGAAAGCACAGGCGCGGAACGGAAAGCCGCGUGCAAGCGAGGUACCGGACUGGUAGGAAAAACCGCCAGCCAACGGGAAGACGUGAUGCGGACCGAAAUUUAGUAGGGAAGUGUGUGAGCCAGCUGUCAAGAAAAGCCGCUAUUGUGUAUACAGUACCCGUACCGUAAACCGACACAGGUGGAUGAGGAGAGAAUCCUAAGGCCGGCGGAAGAAGUAUUGUCAAGGAACUCGGCAAAAUGACCCUGUAACUUCGGGAGAAAGGGUGCCUCGAAAGAGGCCGCAGAGAAUUGGCCCAAGCAACUGUUUAGCAAAAACACAGGUCUAUGCGAAACCGAAAGGUGAGGUAUAUGGGCUGACGCCUGCCCGGUGCUGGNNNNNNNNNNNNNNNNNNNNNNNNNNNNNNNNNNNNNNNNNNNNNNNNNNNNNNNNNNNNAAUUCCUUGUCGGGUAAGUUCCGACCCGCACGAAAGGCGUAAUGAUUUGGGCGCUGUCUCGACAAUACAUCCGGUGAAAUUGAAGUACCAGUGAAGAUGCUGGUUACCCGCGCCAGGACGGAAAGACCCCAUGGAGCUUUACUCCAGCUUGAUACUGGGAUUCGGUAUUGCAUGUACAGGAUAGGUGGGAGGCUAAGAAGCAUGGACGCCAGUCUAUGUGGAGCCGCUGUUGGGAUACCACCCUUGCGGUAUUGGAUUUCUAACCAGCCGCCGUGAAACCGGCGGUGGGACAAUGUCAGGCGGGGAGUUUGACUGGGGCGGUCGCCUCCGAAAGGGUAUCGGAGGCGCCCAAAGGUUCCCUCAGAAUGGUUGGAAACCAUUCGAAGAGUGCAAAG